ensembl:lncRNA
GGAACAGCCAUUUCUGGGCUAGAAAGAGACACCAUAUAGCUUGUUUUUGGUGCACAGCUCACAAGCAAUCAUAUGUGACUGUAUGGAGUACCAUUAGUGUGCAGGGCACCACUGUGUUGCAUCAUCUCUUCUCCUCUGAGUGUUUGGGAGCUAAGGAGUCCAAAUGGUUUUGCACUGUUGCAGCAGGAUUUCAGCUGCUCAGGAGGUCCUAUAUGUGAAACAGGGGCUCGGCUGUGAUUGGUGGACCUAAGGAACGACCUGAUGUAACUGGUUCCUGCUGUGGACAUGAACUAUAAAAGGGCGACUGAAAAGCUGCGGUGCGGGGGGUGUGGCAGACUUCCCGUGCACUUGCCUCAGGUCCAGACGGAGCGGCCGUAGCUAUUUGGUUAAAAGGUCGGGCAUGUGUGUGAAGUGCGGAGCAAGUAGGGGUGAGCUGCCGAUUAUUUUGGGAAGCCUUCUUUUCUCCUGUGUUUUUAGACCAGGGAGGUCAGACUGUGUUAUUUCUUUCUUUUCUUUUCC